rnacentral:tRNA from 1 species
UGCUUUGGGGAGCUUCCAGAUGGCAUACAAAGCCAAAAAACGAACUGGAUUCGCAAAGGAU